rnacentral:lncRNA from 1 species
CACACGACAUCUUCAGACGCACACGCAAAGAAUGCUGGAACACUUUUUUGAUCCGACCUUCGAUUACGAAACGGUAGCAUUUUGAAUAUUUGUUUAUUAGCUACGUUUUACGUCGAAAAUCAAAAAUCCAGAAAAAUACCAAAAUUAGACAUCGGAUCAAGUCCAAAUUUUACACACAUGUCGGUGCCAACCUUAAUGUCGUUCGAUAAAAAAUUCAGAACAUUUCGCCAUUAGGGGGCGCAAUAAACGAGGAAAUUGUGUAUCUUCUACAAAAUUUCGCCGCGAAAACGCUACACUGACUUCUCGCUACUCCUACCACGGUCAAAUCCUUUGUAUCCACAGGUUCAGGGUAGCGUUUUGAACACAUGCUUCGCGUUGUGCCGGCGAAAUGCACAUUUCUUGUCGCGUUGUGCCGGCGAAAUGCACACUUCUUGGACCCCUGCAUAACUGCUUGCAGUUCUAGUUAUUAGGGGUCCAAGCCAACAGGUUGGAUCCCUAUUGUUUUUGUAAGGAUUAUUAUUCCUAUUAUUAUUAUUAUUAUUAGGGGUCCAAGCCAACAGGUUGGAUCCCUAUUGUUUUUGUAAGGAUUUUUCUUAUUAUUAUUCCUGCGCUAAAUGUGGUACCACAGCCCAAACCGUAAAUGGUGCCGACACGCCAAUUGCAUGACUUGAUCCAGGUCCGGCACCGCUACUCAGAUAACAAAAUCCAGACACGCCGGCCACUAGGUGGCGCUAUACCAAGGAAAGACGCGUUUGGGGCUAUAACUCCCACACCGAACCUCCCACAUUCAAAACCUUGUACACACAUAGGCGAAAUGCACACUUCUUGGACCCCUGCAUAACUGCUUGCAGUUCUAGUUAGGGGUCCAAGCCAACAGGUUGGAUCCCUAUUGUUUUUGUAAGGAUUUUUAUACUACCUCCCCGUGAAAGUGGAACCACAGCCCAAACCGUAAAUGGUGCACACGCGCCAAUUGCAUGACUAGAUCCAGAAUCGGCACCGCUACUCAGAUAACAAAAUCCAGACACGCCGGCCACUAGGUGGCGCUAUACCAAGGAAUACGCGUUUGGGGCUAUAACUCCCACACCGAAACUCCCACAUUCAAAAACUUGUACACACAGAUGCACUGGAGUCUGCUGCAUCUUUUGGCCUAGGCCACGCCCAUUUGCGUCUAGAAUUUUUUUUCGCAAAAUCGCGAAAACCGCAAAACCGUUUUUUCGCUACUCCUCCCACAUUUCUCGCCCGAUCAACACCAAACUUUGCACACAACAUCGUCAGACGCACACGCAAAGAAUGCAUGAGACACUUUUUUGAUGCGACCUUUGACGACGAAACGGUAGCGUUUUGAAUAUUGGUUUAUUA